GGAAAAGAAAGAAAUACAAAAAAGAAAAGAAACCCCCCUCCCCGUAUUGGGCCAACAGCGCUGGCAGCCCAACACAGUCUGCUGCGACCGCGCCCUGGCCGACCAGCUCCUGUCCUUUCUCUCACAGCCGUGUGGGCCCAUGUGGUCGGUCUUCUUCCUCGUUGGAUUGCGUUAGCAAACGGCUGAGCGAAAAUUGAGGGACUGCCCAACCAAACGGACUCCGCUGGUCUUGCAUUGAACCCGCCUGGAUCCUCGUGUCCUUAGGAUAUAUAAGCAGACCUAGGUAUUCUUCCCUGAACAGCUCAAACUACCACGAACCUGGGGUGAAGAUUCAAGCUGCCAGGGGGAUUUCGCGGGUUCACCCCGUCGGGGUCUCUGCGCCAGGUCUUGGUGCUUGGGUGCCGUUCGUCUGCCGGGGGGUAAGCUUCCUGCCUGUGCCACACGGUCGGUCUGCGGUCGGAGUGGGCCACGAACGUCGCAGGCAUUAGCCUCGGCUCUACCGCCGCAUACGAGGCCGCUUCUCCAGUUUUCGCUUGGGUGUUGAUGUCGUCGCCAACAGUGGUGCAUCUUCGCAUGAAGAUAGUGCAAUGUGGGCAGACUCGACCAUUGUUCCAGUCGCGGAUGCGUCUGGGGCACUGAUCCAGUUUGCUCAUCGGAACAUGGCGGUGUGGGUCGCGGGGGUCCAUCUGUGUGCCCGGAAAUUCUCACCGGUGCAUAGCCACCGCCGCUGGUUGCGCUUGACUGUCGCCAGACCAUCACGCUGCAGGGUCCACGGUGAGAAUCCCCUCAAACAAUUCCCAUGCAUAUCUAGGUUGUGUAGCGCGGAUCGAAUUAAGGAGCAGGGCCCUAGGGCGCCGACUUGGCCAACACCGGCAGGCCCGCCGCCGUGGGGGGAAAACCUGUGCGCCACCACGCUCGGCUUGGCUGGGGGAGGAAGAUUGGCUCCCUGUCGUUCGAUCGUGAACGGACGGUGGAGAUUAGCCAUGGGAAUACCUAUUGGGGGGAAUAAACCAGAGCCAUAGAUCUAGAUCCAACGGUUGUGGGCCUAUAUCGGUUCCAAGCCGCCCCGAUGUGAUCUGGACCCUCCAUCUCUAAUCGGGCAGUCCAGAUCGCGUACCCCUUCGUUGUCUAAUCUAGUCCCUGGAUCCAAGAUCGGACGGCUCUGAAUCAACGAUACCCCUUCACCCUGGCUUUCUUUCUAAAGAGCCCCUCUGUUUUCCUAGAUUCAACCCGCAGUCCACUCGGGUGUUCCCCUGAGUCUGGGGAAUUCUUACCCGAGACCCCCUGCACUUCCCAGAAAUCUGCGCCCAGUCCAGAUAAUUAAUAAAACCAGGAAAAUCAUUUAGAAAAUAGAUUUUAGUACAUAUUUAAAUGCAGAAACUUGUUUAAUUUGUAGAAAACGCAUAUGAACUCCGAAUUAACCCAUUCCAGUUUCUAUAAUUUUGUAAUAUUAUUGUUGAUCAUUUUGUGUCACAGUUUUAACAUGAAAGCCAUAUUAAAAUUGAUAUACUAAUUAAUCUUGUGCAAAACAUAUAGAAUCGUUGGAAAUCCAUAACUUAAAAUCUACAACUCCAAAAUUAAUAAUUCUUUUUCCUGUGAUCUUAUUUUAAUAUGUAGAUUAUUAAUAUGUAUUUUGCAUAUAUGUUUGUUGUGAUGUUAAUUUUGCCUAUACACUGUUUGUUUGUAUUGCUACGACUAGCAGUGAGGUCACGAGAAUCUGAAGAUCAUCCUGGUACCUGGAAUCUCAAGUCCCAGGCAAGUUGUGCCCUUGAUCACUUCUUUUUACCUACUCAUGUUCUGAUUAAUCAUAAUGAUCUGCAUAGGUUAAUUUUGAUGGGACCCGAUAGGUUACCCUAGUUUGUCUAUCUUUAUACCUUGUUUACCACUGAACUUUUUGGGUAGUACUUGCUAGUGCUUUAUGUGGUUUUGGGUAUGAAGAUACAUUAUUCAUGAUCACACUUUUAUUAUCUGUUUAUUAUCACUGUUCAUGAUAAGAUCAUUAUGUUAAUUGGAACAUGGAGAACCACCCGGGAAAACAGUGCUACCACAAGGGUUUAAUGGGACGCCCUUGGCCGAUUAAUUAGGAAAGCUAGUGGAAGACUACCUUACCCGAAAGGGGCAAGGGCAGUAGGGGAGUGGUCAGUGUAGGGAGGCCCUCGGGAGGAUUUUGCUGUGAUGGCGGUCCUGCAAGGGAUUCCUGGGAAGGCCCUCGGGAGGAUUUUGCUGUGAUGGCGGUCCUGCAAGGGAUUCCUGGGGAGGCCCUCGGGAGGAUUUUGCUGUGAUGGCGGUCCUGCAAGGGAUUCCUGCAUUGGAGCUUCCUAUAAACUGUAGCGGGUUUUCUGAAGCUAGUGGAACUUUGUAAAGGCCUCGUAGUGUUACCCUGCCUCGCCUCCUCGGUAGAGGUGUAUGGGAAGUCGCGAUCCCUUGGCAGAUGGGUAACAUGACUUGUGGGUAAAGAUGCGCAACCUCUGCAGAGUGUAAAACUGGUAUACUAGCCGUGCUCACGGUCAUGAGCAGCUCGGACACUCACAUGAUUAAAUUAUGGAAUUAAACUCAAUUUGUCAUAUGCAUUGCAUCGCAGGUGAGGUUGUACAGGUGAUGUUGUUACUUUUGUUCUACUACUUAAUUGGGCUGGUAUUUACUUAUACUUAGUAAUUGCUAAUAAAAUUUUGACCAACUUUAAAAGCAAUGCUCAGCUCUAACCAUCCUCUUUGGUAAGCCUUACACUUCACGUGAGCUCCCACCUUUGGUGAGUUCAUGCACAUUAUUCCCCACAACUUGUUGAGCGAUGAACAUAUGUGAGCUCACUCUUGCUGUCUCACACCCCCCCCCCCCACAGGUCAAGAGCAGGUACCACAGGAUGAGGCGCGUGGAGGAUGCUGUGAUGAGUUCGUGAGUGGUCUAGGUCGUCGUCUCCCAGUCAACUUUGGGUUGCUGGACCGUUGUCUCCUUAUAAUGUAAUUAUUUAUUUUGUAUAGAACUCCUGUUAUAUAUAAAGAUGUGACAUUCGAUCCUGUGCCACUUUACAUCAUAUGUGUGAGACUUGGUCCCAGCAUACCUGGUGUUUAUGUUAGCGCCCGGGUUUUGGACCCCUAAAAUCCGGGUGUUACAGAAGUGGUAUCAGAGGAAUGUUGACCGUAGGACGAAACCUAGAUAGAACUGGAUAACCAUUCUUUACUUACCUUUGCUACUCUAAUCUUUUCUAAACUUAUCUUAAUCCUUUCUCAUCUAUUUCCGCUAUACUCUGAUCAUUCUUACCUUUUUCUUCUAAAGACAAAUGUGGAUUUCACACUUUGAAAUCCUGUGCCUAAAGUGACCUUUAGGAAUAGGAGACCUAUUCAUAGGAACCACAACAAAACUAUUUUUUUAUAAAUAUUUGUAUGCUUGAAUGUUUGUUCUUAUGAUACUUGUCUGAUUUGGAUUUUUGAUUGAGUGUGAUGAGUUGUGGAGUAAUGUCCACAAUUGCAUCUGCAUAUACUUAGGCAUAUAUAUAACUAAUCAAACUUAAAUUGUCCCUCAUUAAAAAAAUGUAUCUAGCUUAUCCAUCUUAUCUUAAAAGACUCUCUCUUGUCUCGAUAGAUCCAUCUUAUCUUACAAGAUUCUAUCUUAUCCUAAUAGGUUCAUCUUAUCCCAACCACUUUACUUAUCUCAUCCUAAAGUAACAACCAUGAUCUAAUUAAGGAGAUCUUGUCUAGUCUAUCUAGUCAUAACAAUCUAACCUAGAUCUGAUCCAACCUAGUAGGUUAAUCUAACCUAACGAAGUCUAACCUUAAGUUGAGCUAACCUAAGGACAGUCACAUAACAAGUUAACACUAGUGAAAUAAAUUGGGUCCUACUCCUAUAAAUCUUGUUCUCUCCUCAUGUACUUAAACCUAAAAUUAGUGCAUUAGACCAACUCAACCGUGAACAUAAGAGCUAACCCAACCAAUAGUGUCAUGAUGGAUUACAUAAUCUGUCUAUUCCCACCUAACAUCAAAUGAACUUUAGACCUACAUCAUGUAGUCAAUCUCAUCCAUAUAUAUCUAUCUUAACCAUAUUCCCCAACCUCGAUGAUAUACACUACCCUCGAAUCAAUGAGACCAAGACCGGAGAAGAAAAUAUCAACACCGACAAGGACGAAUAUAACAGUCAAAGCGAAUCUCGAGAUGAAUCAAGACUUAAACAUUUUAGAUGAAGUCUUUUCCUUGCCAUAAUCUUUCCUACCUCAACCUGUCCAACUUAUAUCCUACAUAAUAAAUUAGCUGAAUACCUAUGCUCUCCUAAUCACCCACUACUGAAAAAAAUGAUAAUUUGGAUUUUGAACCAAUUAUAGAUUAAAAGCUGAAUUACAAACCAAUCCUUCUGUAUCCCUUUUUCUA
rnacentral:lncRNA from 1 species